rnacentral:tRNA from 3 species
GCCUGGUUAGCUCAAUCGGUAGAGCAUUUGACUCUUAAUCAAAAGGUUGCGGGUUCGAGCCCCGCAUCGGGCU